UCCGUGAGCCGAUGUACAAGAACCGGAUAGAAGGCGGUGCCGAUCAGGGCAAGCGGGCGCGUAACCGCGAAGCUCUCGUGGUCAAGGAUUAGGUGCGGUAAAUCCGGCGGUUGUGCGGUGAAG
rfam:Candidatus Burkholderia crenata strain TZHbot9 BCREchr_ctg450, whole genome shotgun sequence.